UCUUAGUGGCGAACGGGUGAGUAACACGUAGGGAACCUGCCCAUGUACCCGGGAUAACAGAUGGAAACGUCUGCUAAAACCGGAUAGGGUAUAGACAAGGCAUCUUGGCUAUAUUAAAGGACCUUCGGGUGUGGACAUGGAUGGACCUGCGGCGUAUUAGCCAGUUGGCGGGGUAACGGCCCACCAAAGCGAUGAUACGUAGCCGGCCUGAGAGGGUAGACGGCCACAUUGGGACUGAGACACGGCCCAAACUCCUACGGAAGGCAGCAG
rnacentral:rRNA from 1 species